AGUGGGGUGCCAAACCCAACUCCCCCUCAUCCCGUACCUCCUCUCGCUAGAUUCGCGUUCAUAGUUGGAUGUUACAACCCUACGAAGCUCAUCUAUCAUCUAUCAUCCAUUGAACCUUUGGAAACAACUGUGGCUUCUGCUUUACAGGGUAAAAAAGUUGAGGCAAUUCUCAGAAGGCGAUGAUCUCUAAAUUCACGGCUGAGCUUCGUGAAGGUUGCAUCCAACAACGACAGCUAUUGAUGUCUUCUCAGGUAUGAAGAGCAUGAUAUCAUUGUGCGGAGAAGCAAUUCUACAAGGCACGAAGAGUAUGAUAUCAUUGUGCAGCCUCUUUUUAUUAGUCAUGAAUGAUGGCUGCUAAUUUUAAACUAUAAGAAGAAUAGGUAAUACCGGGUGAAAAAGCUUCCCACUAAUUUUCCUUAGAACUUUCUACAUUAAUUCAAGGUCAAAUUAUACUGUGUGUGUGAGAAGGCAGAUGAACUUCUAGAUUUUGUAGUAUGUGUCUGUCUAUAGUAGUAUUUCAUAAUUCUGAAGUAACAUGUAUGAAUUUUUCAUCCAUCAAAAGAAAAAACAGAAUUGUUUUUUGUAAUAGCUACUAGCUAGCUAUUAUGGAUAGUUUAUCUCUAACAAUUAUUGUAGUACUAUACCAAAGUGCAGUGGACAUAGAGAUUAAAUUAGUCCAUAAGUCUGUAAUGACAUUCUGGAUUCAGUGUGGUAUUGUGGUUCAAUUUCAGUUAUGGAGAAUCUUCAAGUAGGGGAUGACUUGCAGGCGAAGUGAUUGCUCCACUUCAUUGUCUGAAUGUAAAAUUAAUUCUUGAACAUUUCUUAAAUGCUUAGUGUACUGACUCUAUAGAUUUUUAAUACUUGCUUAUUUUAAAUAAUGUCUAAUUUCCACA